GUAACAAGUACAAAGUACUUGAUGUUUAAAGGAAUGCAGAAUAUCCAAUGCUACAAAAGGAACAAUGUAUCUGGAAUAAAAUGAGUGAAGGGGAUAGUGAUACAAGGAGAAGUUGAAAAGAGAUGUGGUUGGAGCUGGAAGCUGUUAUCCUCAGCAAACUAAUGCAGGAGGAGAAAACCAAAUACUGCAAGUUCUCACUUAUAAGUGGGAACUGAAUGAUGAGAACAUUUGGACAUGGUAAGGGGAGGACAACAUGCAGUGGGGCCUGUUGGGGAGUAUGGCAGGAGGGAAAGCAUCAGGAAAUUCACUAAUAGAUGCUGGGCUUAAUAACUUGAUGAUGGGAUGAUCUGUGCAGCAAACCACCAUGGCACAUGUUUACUAAUGUAACAAACCUGCACAUUCAGCACAUGUACCCCUGAACUUAAAAUAAAGCAAAAUAAAAAUAAAAAU
rnacentral:lncRNA from 1 species